CAGGGAGCAAGGAACCAAUUGCAAUUCCUCAUUAAAAAUCACUCCUGCUUAAUUCCUGCAACUCCAGUUGUGGACACUGAAUCUCAACCCUAAGCCUUGAGUGGAAAUUCAAUUUGGUGAACACAGUCAAGGAAGAUCCUUCAGGAAAGGAAAAAACCAAAUCUUACAUCACAUAUAAAACCUGAAAUUCUCUCAGGAUGCAUCUUCAGAAAAUGUGGCAUUGAACAUCUGAAGAAAAUAAUGAGCCUGAAACUAAUACAAUAAAAGUUCUGUGGCUGAUCCCAGGGAGCUGUGCAUGGUCUUCUUGGAGUGACUUGGAAGGAAGGGGACUCUUAUCAAGCAACAAAUGAGGACAAAUAAUCAUUCUUAGAAAAUGUUCAGGACAAAAACCUGUCUGCACCACCGCCCUGUAACAUUUAGAGCAAAGAACCCAUCUGAAGAUGUCCCCUUGUUUUUCUGAUGGUGGAAUGUCUGUGAGCAGAACAGAAUGGCACCAGAUUGGUUUAAUCACAGGCAAUACCUCAUGCUUUUUCUUUUUCUAGGUGAAUUGAAUGAAUUGUGUUAUCUCCUAAAUCACAUGGAAUAUUUUCUCUCAGUUGGGCCCAGAAGACAAAGAUUGAGUCCCUCCUCAAAGCAAGGGGACAAGAGAGCAGCUUCACUCCACAAAGGAAUUUCCAGUCCCCAUAAAAUGCUUUCACCCACUUUUUUUGUUCCUCCCCUUGUCUGCCCCUCCAGCACAUAGACAGAGUCAGCGUCAGAGAUUUAUUUUAGACGUUUGCUCCCCCUUAACUCCUUCUUGAAACUUCUCUCCCAACUUUUGCUGAAUUUAGUACAAUGCAUCUAAAACUUUUCUGGCAGCUCUCACACCCGCAAAUUUCAGAAGGAUUCUGCCUUUCUCUGAGAGCUCUGCAAUUCCUCUUCUACCACAGCAAGCCCACUGUCCAGGAAGUCUAACAGAGCCUCAUUUACUGAAUCACAAAGUUUUUGCCCAAGGAGCUCCCUGCAGCCCUGCCUGAGCCGCUGCCUCCCUCAGAGAGGUGCCAGGAGCCUGUUGUUCCUGCAGGAAACAUGGAGCCGCAUCCACCUGGGCUCCACAAGGAAUUUCCUGGUGCUUGCCGCAGCUGUGCUUCACCCAGUGUCCUACCUGGCCACCGCCCUCCUCUGCCACUUGGUACCAACCCAAGUGCUGUGGCACACAGAAGCCCUGGGUUUCUCUAACUCUCUCUACAAAGUCAGGGAGAGGUUGGAACUGCCAUCCAAAAAUAACUUUGUGCCGAGGUUUCAUCAAUGAAAUCAGAAGAUUUGCUGAUCCAGACUGUAAAAUACAAUUUUAGCUCCUCAUCCGUGGUGCAGCUUUCUGUAACAGGGAUCAACAGGGAAACUCCCACUCCAGCUUGAACAUAAGGUCCAUAAAUAGCCAAGCCCACUAACAAGUACUUCAUUAGUGCUCCAUGGCAACACUGAAGUGGUUUUGCUGUUCCUACAAGUCCCACAGUUGAGUGAGGAGGCAUGAUUUGCUUUUUCUCUUUGUCAUCCAUGAGGGCAAAGAAGAUAAGGGAGCCAAAAGAAGAGAAUCCCCAUCACUACCGGAGCAGCUGCUUUCCUGCCCUGAGGCUCUGUUGUAGUGUUUUCUGGUACCUUUUUACUACACAACUUCUUGGACAAAGCACUCCUGGAUGCUGCACUUAAAUUAUCAGCCUGUGUAAUGCUUGGGAUGGUGCGGAUAAAGAGUGAACAGAAACAGAGUUUUAAAAUGACAAAUCACCCUGUUCCCAGGGAGGGAAGGCAGAAUUCUUUUCCUCUCUCCAAGGCAAAGACUUCAAUGAGCCUUCUGUCCCUCCUGGUUUGUGGGAUUUGUCCUUGGCCAGGGGUGCCAUGGUCAGGGACAGCAUCACCUCCAGCCAUCACCCACCCCCAGUCACACUUACAACAAGGUGUGCCAGGCCUGACUGCAAGUUUUCCCUUUUCCAGGGAUGUCCCAAGGGAAAUUUCUACCUGCCCUGUGCCUGCUGGAGAGAGAAUUGCCCAGGGGCCUCUCAGCAAGCUUUGUUCCCUGUGUCCUAGGCAGUGUAAAUGACUUGGAGCACACCAAAGCCCUCAGCAGCCACGGAAUUGACGUCACCAGGGAGGAAGUACCCACAUGUUCAGCACCAACACAUCAGGAGGAAAUAUUUGAGGAGAGCUGAGCCAAUGCCCUGCUGAGGAGAUCUGCACAUGCGUUCCUUCCCCCUCAGCUCCUGCAUCUCCUGUACUCAGCAGAAGUUAAAGUCAGGUGAACUAUUAUGAAAAAUAAAAAUUCAAAUAUUUACAU